UACGGGGGGGGCAAGCGUUGUUCGGAAUUACUGGGCGUAAAGGGCUCGUAGGCGGCCAACUAAGUCAGACGUGAAAUCCCUCGGCUUAACCGGGGAACUGCAUCUGAUACUGGAUGGCUUGAGUUCGGGAGAGGGAUGCGGAAUUCCAGGUGUAGCGGUGAAAUGCGUAGAUAUCCGGAGGAACACCGGUGGCGAAGGCGGCUUCCUGGACCGAUACUGACGCUGAGGCGCGAAAGCUAGGGGAGCAAACGGG
rnacentral:rRNA from 1 species